UUGACCAAUGUGGACACUCCG
rnacentral:misc_RNA from 1 species